rnacentral:miRNA from 1 species
GGCUUGUUUUACCUUGCCUGUG